rnacentral:lncRNA from 1 species
CAGUUACCCAGCAUGUGCCAGGACUUGCAUUCAUUUCAGGAGUAUGACUCUGUUGAAUCAUCAGACAGAUCUAUGAGGUGAAUGCCCUUAUGCCCACUGCACUGAGGACUGGCCUCACUCAGGCCAGAAGCAGCAGGUCUCCAUCGAGAUCACACAGCUGCUGAGCUGCAAAGCCCCACCAACCUCAUCACUAGGCUUGUGAUGUUAUAGCAUCACAUCUCUUCCCAUUUGGGAAUUUCUGUGCUCUGGGUCUAGGUAUCAGUGAUAUAACAACCCAGUGGGAAGAGUGUGUCAGUACUUCUGAGGAUGCCCAGGCUCCACCAAGUUUCCUGACCCAUGCUGUUAGGAAAAUACUAUAUCACUUGGAUGUUCUCCCAAUGCCUGUUCUCUUUUCUGUCUCAGUAAAGGGCCCCACUACAUCUCUGGAAAUUCUUCUGACUUGACUAACAUGUAGCAGUAGUCUUGAAGAUCCUUUGCCCUUUCAUGCAACAAAUCAACAGGUCCUAUAGCCUCAUGCUCAAAUGUAUCCCCAAUCCACCUACUUCAUUCUGAUUCUGCAUCACCCAGUCAAAGCCACCAUCACUUUCACCUGACCUGUGACAAAAGACUGCUUGUUUCCAUAUUUGCCCUCUUUAGAAUGCAUUCUCCAUAAAACACCUGGAAAAAACUUUUGAACAUCUGAUUCUUAUUGUGCCUCUUGCUUAAAACCCUCCAAUGACUUCUCACUGCAUAGGGAAUGAAAUCACAGUCAGGUUUACAUGUCUUACCAAGACCCUGUGAGUUCACCUCCUCCCCUUGCUUUUUGUGCCCCCUUUUUGGUCUGUGGUUUCUCAAACUCACCGUAUUCACUCACAUUUCAGGACCCUUGCUCCACAGAAUUCUUUGCCUGGAAUUUUCUUCCCAGAAUCUUUGCAUGUCAUUCCCUCUGUUGCUGAGUUACCGGGAUCUCAAUGUAAACGUUACGUACUGACAGAGGCUGCUGUGAACUGAAUUGCGUGCUUCCCAAAAUUCAUAUGUUGAUACUGUCACCCCCGGUACCUAAGGAUGUGACUACAUUUGGAGAUAGCAUCAUCAAAGAGGUAAUUAUAUUAAAAUGAGGUAUUUGGGGGUAGAGAUGAGGGAGUGGGGAGAUGGUCAAAUUAUACAAAAUUUCAGCUAGACAGGAGGAAUAAGGACAUCAGAUCUAUUGCAUUUGGUGACUACAGUUAAUGUAAUCUGUUCUUGAACAUUGCUAACACUGUAGAUUUUGAGUGCUCUCACAACAGAAAAAUGAUGGGUAUGUGCAGUAACACAUAUGCCAAUUAGCUUGGGUCAACCAUUCCACAAUGUAUGCAUAUUUAAAAACAGUUCCACAAAUGUAGACAAUUUUUAUUAGUUACUAGUUACAAUAAAAAAUGUUUUAAAAUGAUGACAUUAGGGUGGGCCCUGAUCCAAUCUAACUGAUGUCUCCAUACAAGAGGAGAUAAGGAUACAAAUGUGCACACACAGAGAAAUGACCACGUGAGGACACAAGGAGAAGGUGGCCACUUACAACCCUAGGAGAGAAGCCUUGGGGGCAACACACCCUGCCCACACCUUGACCCUGGACUUCAUCCCCCAGAUAAAGUCCUUCAUCCUCCAGAUAAAGUCCUUCAUCCUCCUUCAUCAUAUGGAACCUUCUGACCCUGAAUACUCUCCAAAUGCUGUAAUGUACCAAGGUGAAGGGACAGCACAGACCUCAGGGUGAAAAGUUUAAAGAAAGUAACAUUUUCCCAUUGCCCUGUCCCAUCCCCAACACACACCUGUGCCAGCCUUUAUUGGUCUUUUGUAUUCCCCUGUCCUGGAUAUAGGGUAACUUAUUAAUCUGUGUUUAUGUAUAGGAUAACAUAAAACAAAGAUAAACAAUAAAAUAAAAAUAAACAGCAAAACUCAACUAAUAGUGUUUGGGCAGGGUGACAGUGAAGGCAGGAAGAUCACAUAACAAUGGAGGUGGAGUUCUUGGAGCUCAGUCCACAUCCUGUUGUGUUUCUACAUCAGAAUCUAUAGUAGCAGUAUUCAGGUUUUGUGGUUUUGUCCUUGCCUGCCCCAUAAGUGCCAGAGGGGAUUAUUCUAAUCAGGGUGAGGAACUGGUAACUUGCACUUUGCAAGUGAGACAAUCUUCCUUGCCAUUUGCCACAGUGGCAUGGCAGAAUUUAUCAUGAGUGUCUCUAUCCUCUAAUGUGCAAAAAGUUCAACUCUGUAGGUGAGGUUCUGUUGGCUGCCAAUUUGGAAGCAUCUGCCUUCAUGCUCUUGUCUAGGAUGGUAACAUCUCUCUGCCAAUAGCUGAUACAAUUCUCAAAAUCCCGUAGUCCUGUUUUCCAGUUAAGGUUCACUGGAACUAUGCGGGCAGAUUUACAUAGCUCAGUUCUUCCAGCAGCCAAAAAAUACUUGAUAUUGUUUUCCUCUGAAGCCUCUGAGAGAGGGAGUCAGCCUCCACCUAGAGGUGGCCCUUAGAAUUUUUGACACAUAGUCUCCCUGACACUACUACUUAACGCUGAUUUGAAAGUCAGUGACAAGCUUGCUCCCAAGCUCCUGUCAAAUUGAAUCCUGACAGAUCAAGGGCUUGGGGUUUCCCAGCUUGAUAUUCCAAUAUUGAACUGAGUAAAUUUGAGUUCUAUAAGACAUCAGAAGGCUACUUAGAAUACAACACAUUCUAAGAGAAAAUUGGGCUGCCACAGGAACAUUAGCUGUAAAAAAAAAUAUAUGUUCUUUGGUGAAAAUUUUAUGCUCCUUGAUAAGCAGCCUCUAAAAAUUGCUUACACGAGAUGGGACAAGGUAUGGUGGAGCUCCAGGAUCAGGACAGCUGCCUCAUCCCUUCCUACUGUGAAGUCUGUAUCUGCUGGUUAGAGCUCUCAAACCAUAGAAGGUUUAGUGUAUGUCCCAGCAAGUGUCACCUAAAAGGACCUUCUUGUUUUUCCCUCUUCUGAGAAAAGGAUGCUGAAAUGAGACCUUUUAUGUCAGAGACUACUCGGCCUCCACUCUAAAAUGACUUGGUUGAUGGAAGAACUGAUUCCCUGAGGAGGGGAAAGAUUCAGGGAAGAGCCUGUCCUGGGUGAGUCUGUGUUUCCCCAGCUGUGCCGUCUAUGCAAAUAGUGCAACCCAAAAAAAUAUCAGAUGGUAGACAUAUGGACGUAAUGAGAAGAACAUUGAAAAGAGCAUCACAUCAGAAUAUCGAGGUGGGCCUGGAAGUUGGUGGGAGUGUGGCCUGGAUGUGGAAGGCGGGACCUGUCUUUGGCUCACCUGCCUUCCCACAGCUCACCUGGAGCUGUGGCACCAGCAUUAGAGCCCGGU